AGAACGAACGCUGGCGGCAGGCUUAACACAUGCAAGUCGAACGCUCGUAGCAAUACGGGAGUGGCAGACGGGUGAGUAACGCGUGGGAACAUACCCUCCGGUUCGGAAUAGCUCAGGGAAACUUGGAUUAAUACCGGAUACGGCUGAGAGGCGAAAGAUUUAUCGCCGGAGGAUUGGCCCGCGUUCGAUUAGCUUGUUGGUGAGGUAACGGCUCACCAAGGCGAUGAUCGAUAGCUGGUCUGAGAGGAUGAUCAGCCACAUUGGGACUGAGACACGGCCCAAACUCCUACGGGAGGCAGCAGUGGGGAAUAUUGGACAAUGGGCGCAAGCCUGAUCCAGCCAUGCCGCGUGAGUGAUGACGGCCUUAGGGUUGUAAAGCUCUUUCGCUCGGGACGAUAAUGGCGGUACCGAGAUAAGAAGCCCCGGCUAACUUCGCGCCAGCAGCCGC
rnacentral:rRNA from 1 species